UCUAAAAUCUGAUGUCAAACAUGCUCUCUUUAUUUUCUUCUGGAAGAUGUUUGGGUUGUUACUCAGAAGACCAAAAAGAAAACGAAGAAACAAAAUGGUAUAUGUACUGAUCUGAAUAAUUGGAAUGUUUGGAAUCAGAAAAGUUAACGUCCUUCCACCAAUCAGAACCAUCAAGUUUGUGUAAGGUUGCAGAUGUGACGUCUGUUGCUACAUGGUUGCUUGGGGACCUUCCGGGAGAAAAUAGCUACAGGUUACUACCUAAUCUGUGUAGACGGAUAAAGGCAAACAACCCAGGGAGCAUUUUGGUGGUGCAGUUUUAGCUAUUACUUUGGUUGAGGCUAACAAUAUGAUAUAUCCUGUUGCCAAUUUCAGAAGGAUUUCUCCGCAAUAGAUGAACGUUAUAAAAAGGAUACCUUGUGUACUGCCCUGUGGAAUACUUAGGAACAAGAAAAGUAAUUGGGAAUCACAUCAAUAAACACCCCGCGAUACAAAUUCAAAACAUCUUGCAAGUAAACCUGACGUGUACACUGACAUGGAACGGAAGGAUCUAUUGAAGAGCAUCAGGUACUUACCGGUCGCAAUAUCAAGAGUAGAAGGGUUGGUAAAAGUUACCUCGACGCAGGGCUAAAAUGACUUAUGAACCAAAUUACGAUGCUUUGAGCUAUCCAAAAGCAAAAAAGAAGAGUCUGGUUCAUAUGAGACAUCUUAUAUACCUACUAGUUGGUAAUCGAACAAGAACCUUUUAUAACACUACUGUUUCCAAGUAUCCAUAUUGGUCCUUAGGAGCACUAUGCCGCUGACUGCAAUGAUUUUUCGUCAAUUAAUUUGGAAGAUGUGAGCCUUUCAAAGAACAAAAAAGUAUGAUUAACUGGCAUUACUACAGUUGUCAUAGAGCGGUUAACUGGCGUUAUUGUUGUAGGAAAACUAAGUUGGCUUUACAUAUCAAGGAUUAUUGUCAUUCAAUGUGCGCAAGUCAAUUGGUGCCGGAAUCACUCUAAACCUCAUUGCUGAUUUACAAAUUGUGUGAUAGAUAAUGUAGAGGCUCAACGUAAAUUUGAAGCAGAAACAAUUUCUUGGCAUAUAGAAGUUGUAUUUAAUAUUAUGAAUCCAAUUCGAUUAUCUUCUUUGUUUCAGUUGAUAAUAGUGAAAUUAAGAGUUUGGAUCCAA